rnacentral:rRNA from 1 species
AUGCAGUCGAACGCGUUGGCCCAACUGAUUGAUUGUGCUUGCACAGGAUUGACGUUGGUUUCCCAACGAGUGGCGGACGGGUGAGUAACACGUAGGCAACCUGCCCCGAAGCGGGGGACAACAUUUGGAAACAAGUGCUAAUACCGCAUAACAACUUUGACCGCCUGGUCAAAGCUUAAAAGAUGGUUUCGGCUAUCACUUCGGGAUGGGCCUGCGGCGCAUUAGCUUGUUGGUGGGGUAACGGCCUACCAAGGCGAUGAUGCGUAGCCGAGUUGAGAGACUGAUCGGCCACAAUGGGACUGAGACACGGCCCAUACUCCUACGGGAGGCAGCAGUAGGGAAUCUUCCACAAUGGGCGCAAGCCUGAUGGAGCAACACCGCGUGAGUGAAGAAGGGUUUCGGCUCGUAAAGCUCUGUUGUUGAAGAAGAAUGUGCAAGAGAGUAACUGUUCUUGUAUUGACGGUAUUCAACCAGAAAGUCACGGCUAACUACGUGCCAGCAGCCGCGGUAAUACGUAGGUGGCAAGCGUUAUCCGGAUUUAUUGGGCGUAAAGCGAGCGCAGGCGGUUUUCUAAGUCUGAUGUGAAAGCCUUCGGCUUAACCGAAGAAGUGCAUCGGAAACUGGAUGACUUGAGUGCAGAAGAGGGCAGUGGAACUCCAUGUGUAGCGGUGGAAUGCGUAGAUAUAUGGAAGAACACCAGUGGCGAAGGCGGCUGCCUGGUCUGUAACUGACGCUGAGGCUCGAAAGCAUGGGUAGCGAACAGGAUUAGAUACCCUGGUAGUCCAUGCCGUAAACGAUGAGUGCUAGGUGUUGGAGGGUUUCCGCCCUUCAGUGCCGGAGCUAACGCAUUAAGCACUCCGCCUGGGGAGUACGACCGCAAGGUUGAA